CUUCAGAGGUUCUUCUGAGUGCGUUACACGGCCGUUCAUUCUGAUGAGCAGAAAAGGACAAAGCAUAAAAAUUGCUGUUAUUCAUCAUCUGGGAGAGAAGUCCAUAUUUUCAAUUUGUUCAUUUCUCGAUGGACCAUUCUGUAUCUGAUUUGAUAUAACAGCUUGAGAAUGUUAGUUAUUGAUAUCCUCUUCCUCUUUUGGCACCCAACAUUCUCUCCUCAUAACUUCCUUGCUUUAAUUCUUUUUAAACUUCUCGCCUUCCCUUAUUUAUGUGAUCACUUCAUUUUCGGAAUAAAAUAAGGUUUAUCUGAAGCAGCAUAACUUGGUGUUUAACUUCCGUGGGAGUCGGGCACUGAGUUUAACCUCUAGAUACAUUUGGAAGAAGCUUCUGGACGUCAUUAUAGAAGUGUCGGGAAGCCCUCAUUGUUCCUAUACCCCUUCCCACCCCAACUCAUCUGAUUCGAUUGCUAAUGUCUGAAAUUUUAUCCUCUGAAUUUGAUUCCUUUGAUAUUGAAGUGCAGACACUCCUGGGAAGAAUGAGUCACUCACACUUUAUUGUGAAUGAGUCUCAGGGGCUGGGUUAUGAAAAGGGAGAUGGAAUUAAAACCAAGAGAGCUCCGGCGACUGGUGCAGCUGUUCUUGCCACAGAAAGACUGCCAAGUGCGUAGGCGGCUUUGCUCCUCGCUAGCUCUGCAAACUGGAGUCACUUGAUCUCCUUAACCUCGGUGAUCACAGAUGAGAUAUGGAGUAAUAAUGCUUCCUGCUUUACCUGAUAGCAUUAUGUGGAGGCUCAAAUGAGAGUAGAUGGGUCACAAAAAAUUUGCAAACUGUGAAGUGCCAUGCAAAGUAAAGACAUUAAAGGGCAGGACCCAAGGGGAAAAGAAAUGUGGCCAAGGCAUCAUCUACCCACGUCACAACUCAGGUGGAUCCUGGUGCUACUUUAUAAUCACACUCAGAAUUCUGACGAUUAAGAUGACCAGGAUUCAUGUGUUGCCUUCUGGAUAUCAUCGUGCUAAAGACCUCGUGCUCAGGGUGAGGAAGUGCGGCGUGAUUUCACCACUGCAGUGACUUUCCCUUCCUCAUAUCUGAGGGCUGAGGAACCCAACCUGCUGUUUUGGAAAGAGGCUGGGCAGUUGAAAAAGAAAGAUUGCUUUUACAUCGGGCAGUGUGAAUGGGCUUCUGAAAAGUCUCAGGGCACAAUUCAUGGGCAACCUGUAGGCAGCUGCUAAUGAACACAUUUUAGUCACAAGAUUGCAGUUCACACGGUUCUCCAACCAGGUGAUGUGAGGUUACCCCCUCACCUGGGCUCCUCCGGGCCUUGGAUGGCUCCCAAGAACUGGCCAUCCCAUCAUAGUAUUUUUUGGACUUUCAGUGUUAGCUCUGCUUCUUUCCACGUGCCCCAACUUGUCUUUCCCCACUCUUCUCACAUG
rnacentral:lncRNA from 1 species